CGAUUUUCACCAUAUGGAUUGGGAUUCGAACCAUUCAGAGUUGGAUAAUCGAGGAAAAAUGUCAAUUAUUGGAUUGAGAUAGCGUGAUUUGAGAGACAGGUAUUGGAGAUAUAGGACUCGGAAAGAGUUAGAGAGCGCGCAAGGAUUCAAGGUAGAGCUG